rnacentral:rRNA from 1 species
GACGAACGCUGGCGGCAUGCCUAACACAUGCAAGUCGAACGAAACCGUCCUGUUUUUGUGCGCUGGUGUGCUUGAGACGGGGUAAGUUACCCGUGGGUACGGAGUCAUUGCCCGUGGGGUAAGUUAAGGCAACUGAGGCUCUUCCCGCCAAGGAUUUAUCGCCUUUUGAUGGGAGUGCGUUGGAUUAGCUAGUUGGUAGGGUACAAGCCUAUUAAGGCGACGAUCCAUAGCUGGUCUGAGAGGAUGAUCAGCCACACUGGGACUGAGACACGGCCCAGACUCCUACGGGAGGCAGCAGUGGGGAAUAUUGGACAAUGGGCGAAAGCCUGAUCCAGCAAUGCCGCGUGAGUGAUGAAGGCCUUAGGGUUGUAAAGCUCUUUUACCCGGGAUGAUAAUGACAGUACCGGGAGAAUAAGCUACGGCUAACUCCGUG